CUUGAGUGGUUCAGCCCAACCAUUAAAACUAGCAUUUCCGACGCAAGAAGAAAAGUAACUGGAAAUCGGGAAAUUCCUGAAGAAAUUUUCUAGACAAAACUGUGGCCUUGGUUGAGACUCAAAGCAUGGAAAACGGGUUCUCUGCCGUGUCACAGGGGCAAGCUGCCUACUUCUGAGAGCUACUGGUUUCACAAGUCACUGGAGGGAAGUUCACCAGGUCCCAACAGGCCUUAGGGCAGUUCCAAAACGCAGUGUAAACAUCUCAAGCUUUCAGAAGUUGGCACAGGCUAUCAACUGGGAUUCCCUUCACUGUUACUGUCCCAGUCUGACAGAAGAAACAGAAAGAAUGGAGAGACACAAACCUUGGGUGUCCAGACUCAGGGAUGGUUGUUAUUUUAUACACCAAACUCCGGGAAAUACGUGUACGGCAGCAUGAGGAGACAAGCAGAAGUGGACAGUUAAAUAAAACAUCAAUCCACACCAAUUAAAAGCAUCAGAACAGGGCCUGUGCCAACCUGAAGGAACCGUGCAGCAGGGAUGCUUUGAAUGUACAGUUCUUCUCCCUUCCUGCUUUGGUUGCUCUGGCGGACCUGAGGUUCCUUGGCACAGAGGCGAUCUGCUUGACUCCCAUUAUCUCAACCAUGAAGCAGACAGCAGAGGAGUUCUUCCUCCACAUGGGCAGAAAGAGGAUCCUUGAAGGAAGAGGGCAUUGCUGUGCUUGGCUGGGCUCGGCCACAUGAGGAAAAGAAGUUCCUCAGUCCCAUGGAGCUUGUUUUUACCUUUAGGGAUGAAAAGCACCAUCUGUCUUGACCCAGUUCAAGGCUUUCACCCAAAUCAACCAGAGACUGCUCCACCAACCCCUUCUUGACUGGGCCUGGCAUUAGUCUUCCUUUGGAUGUUUUCCUUUAUUCUCUGAAGAUCCUGGGCAGGAGGAAGUCCCCACGGAGGGCAGCUCCAGAUGGAAAGGUGGCCAAGGCAAGAGUGUCGGACUCAGCACUGCCUGUGAAGAGAUAACUGAGACAAGCCACCCGAGGAAAGAUUUACUUCAGUUCAUGGCCUCAGAGGUUUUUACCCCAUCACAGCAGAAGUAGUGUGACAGAGAAUCUCAGAUCGUGGCAGCGAGGGAUGAGAAGGCGGGUUUUAGUCUCAGCUCUCAGCUACUGCUCUGACCUCUUGGGCUUUUAAC